CCUCUUGCUAUACUUAAGGUUAAGCCAAAGCCCCCACAUUCGUCCAAGGCCUCUCUAGCAUGAUAAUGCAUCAUUUUGAUUCAAAAUAUAACAUGCUCAUGUGGGGGAAAUGAGCAGCACAUCUGAAACUUGAUUUCUACCAGAAUUGUAGCCUUGCACAACGACUACUAGCUAAACUCAUCCCCCUAAUCUGAGACUUUGCAGAAGUGUAGUCCUUCCAUGCCUAAGACAACUAGACAUGGUUUCACCACAUUAUCUCUCUAGUAAGUGCCCUCAUUGUUAGCCUUAAGUUUGCUGUUGCAAACUAACCUCCAGUCAAUACCAAUUAAAAUCAGCCCCAUAUGCAACAAAACUCCAGAGUCAUCUUUCUUCAUGCAUGCCCCACACCCCAGACACCUUUGACUGGUCAUAUGGGCCCUAUAGACACAGGCGGCCAUGGUGAACACCUCCCUGGCAUGCAGAAACGGUGCUCUGCACCUUGGCCUCUUGCUGCAGCUCGGGUCGAGCGAGGGCAACAUGUCCCACAGCACCACAGAGCCUCCAUUGACCGUCAAACUUCGCUCCCCAACGCUGGCUAGCCUCCAAAUGCCACAAGGACGCGUGCAACCCUCAUGCCAGAGAGCACCGAGAGCUCUUGAGCUCUCCCUGUCACC
rnacentral:lncRNA from 1 species